ACAUGUCAGGAUUAAUUGACUAUUAAGGGUAACUUUCCACACCUGUGACAGCUUUCAUUAUAAAUGGUGCUUCUGUGUAAAUAGUCAGUGGCUGCUGAGCCAGGAGACAAGAAAAGAGCUUCACGAGAUGAACUGUAAAAAUCAAGAGAAAGAGUGUGAAAAGUAGAGUUCAGUGUCUGACGAAGGAGUGGAGGAUGAGUAGUCCUGCUGACACCAAACCAGAGUCAGAGUAAACACAGUCAGACGACAGAGUACUGAUGUUUCUGCCAGAACGCAAAGAAAACCUCUCAGGCUCCUUCAGGUGAAACAGAUUUCACAGCACGAAAGCAGCGAGAUGGUUUCAAGACCCGCACAAGACGAGCCUCCGAAACUUCUGCACCAAAGUGACAAGACCAGAACUGAACUUUAGGGCCAAACUGUAAAAAAUGAGAUGAGUCAGCACAGCCUGGAACAAAGCAGGGAGGUGCAGCAUGUUAUCAGAAACUACCGAUGGACGAGUCGCAGUCCUCGGCCUGAAAGCUGCACGUAGCGGUGACACUGAUCCAAAGCACACGGCCGAGUCGAUCCUUCACACUCGCUGGAGAGACUCUGGGGCGAAGUCAAACAUGCAAGUCAUGCAACACAACCCAGGACCAUCCAGGACCUGCAGACAGUUAAGAUGGAAAACACUCUGCUUUGAAGUUUCUGAAAUAGGACUCAACAACAGGAAGAAGAUGCUGAAACAAUGAUCCAUCCUUUUUUUUAUGGCUAGCAGAGGGCGACUAAUCUGGUUGGAGAUUUGAAGAGGUUCAUGGGAAAACGGCCCCUCAGUAAACUCUUUCCUGUUGAUAGGCUCAAUCCAAACAAGAUGGCGACGGGGCACACGCUCAGCUCAGGGCUUCAUAACAGGAUUUAUGAUGGUGCAGUCGCUACGCCCGUCUUCACUAAUGUUUACACUGAAAUCUUAGUCGUCCGAGAGCGACUUUUUAAUGAAGCGUUUAAAUAUUUGCUGUGUGAGUCUUUUGAAAACAUUGUUGUAUCUGCUGCAAUAAACAGACGACUGGCUGUUUUCUCUUCUGUGGUUUGUUUUGCCCUCCUUCAAAAGGUGGAGGCAGAUGGCUGCUUGUCCCUGACAAUGGCAUCUUCCCAUUAAAUGGGUGUUCAUUCUCCCCACCGUCGUCAAGUGCAGUUCACAGGAGAUCAUCUGAUUGUUGGGGUUCUGGGGGUGUUUACCCUAACAUGAACUGGUGCUAUAUGAAUAAAAGUGAACUGGAAAGCGUAUUAUAGUAACUCCAAGUGUGGUAAACAUGUCCCCUGUUGUGUAACUCGUCUGUAAUGUGUGUCAGUGUGACACAAUGCAAACAGCUGCUAAACAAACAGCACGCACAGGUCUACAAGAGCGGCUGAAAGCAGGUUAUAAGCACAGAGCAGAAGGCGGUGAAUGCAGCGUUUCUUGCAUCUCUGCUGCUUCUCUGUAAAUGGAAAGAUUAUGCAACGAGCCCGACUCCGGGCUCCUCCCUGCCCGGCUCUGGGGGGCUGUCUCUCGACCUCAUAUUUCAACAUAAAUCGCUGAACACGUGUAUUGGGAUAAUGUGUCAGCACAUGUUGUUUUUCCUUUCAGCAAACACAGAUCAGUGAGAUGAUCCGGCCGUGUAAACGGAGGCCUAGCUGGCUGCGAGCUAGCCGGACAGUGACCCAGAUGGCCCUUUAACACCUCUCGGCCCGGAGGAUGCUGCCUCACACAGUAAAAACGGGAUUUUCACCUUUGAUUCGCCACUAAAAGAAAUACUCUGUUAGCCUACCUACCCUGGCUCCCGGACACUUGUAGCAGUUACAGUAACCCAGCACCGACACCGUUUGUCUGCACUCUAAAUACAAAGAGCUGAGCUAGGCGGCUAACGGGCUA